rnacentral:tRNA from 1 species
GAAUCCCCGCCUCACCGCCAUUUAGAGUACUCGGCUACGAACCGAGCGGUCGGAGGUUCGAAUCCUCCCGGAUGCACCA